UAGGGAAUAUUGGUCAAUGGGGGCAACCCUGAACCAGCCAUGCCGCGUGCAGGAAGACUGCCCUAUGGGUUGUAAACUGCUUUUGUACGGGAAGAAAUCAAUCUACGUGUAGGUUGUUGACGGUACUGUGAGAAUAAGGAUCGGCUAACUUCGUGCCAGCAGCCGCGGUAAUACGAAGGAUCCAAGCGUUGUCCGGAUUUACUGGGUUUAAAGGGUGCGUAGGCGGUUUAAUAAGUCAGUGGUGAAAGCCUUCAGCUUAACUGAAGAAUUGCCAUUGAAACUGUUAGACUCGAGUAUGGUUGAGGUCACUGGAAUGUAACAUGUAGCGGUGAAAUGCUUAGAUAUGUUACAGAACACCAAUUGCGAAGGCAGGUGACUAAGCCAUAACUGACGCUGAGGCACGAAAGCGUGGGGAGCAAACAGGAUUAGAUACCCUGGUAGUCCACGCCCUAAACGUUGAAUACUCGGUCUUGGCGAUAUACAGUCAGGGCCCAAGCGAAAGCGUUAAGUAUUCCACCUGGGAAGUACGUUCGCAAGAAUG
rnacentral:rRNA from 1 species